GGUCGUGGCCUUGGUCCGGCCAGCCGAGGCCCUGCAGCUCACGGAGACAAGGCCGAGGACAAGGCGCGAGUGCCCGUCACCAAGCUGGGCCACCUGGUUAAGAACAUGAAGAUCAAGUCCCUGGAGGAGAUCUGUCUCUUCUCCUUGUCCAUCGAGGAGUCCGAGAUCAUUGACCUUUUCCUGGCGGCAUCUCUCAAAGGUGAGGUUUUGAAGAUUAUGCCGGUGCAAAAGCAGACCCGUGCUGGCCAGGGACGGGAUUCAAGGCGUUUGUUGCCAUUGGGGACUACAAUCGGGGCCACGCAGGUUUGGGUGUUAAGUGACCCAAGGACGUAGCCACUGCCAUCCGAGGGGCCAUCAUCCUGACCAAGCUCUCCAUUGUCCCUGUGCACAGAGGAUACGGGGGGACUAAGAUCAGCAAGCCCCACACCGUCCCUUCCAAGGUCACAGGCCUCCGUGGCUCUGCGCUGGUACGUCCCAUGCCUGCCCCUAGGGGAACUGUCAUCUCUCAGCCCCUGGGCCCAAGAAGUUGCUGAUGACCGCUAGUUAUGGAUACCUGCUACACCUCAGCCAGGGGCUGCACUGCCACCCUGGGCAACUUCGCAACGGCCACUUUGGAUGCCAUCUCCAAGACCUACAGCUAUCUGACUCCUGACCUCUGGAAAGAGACGGUAUUCACCAAGUCUCCCUACCAGAAAUUCACUGACCGUCUUGUCAAGACCCACACCAGAGUCUCUGUGCAGGGGACCCAGGCCCCAGCUGUGGAUACAACAUAGCAUUUUUAUACAAGAACAAUCAAGUGAAUUAAGCCUGUUAAAAAAAAA